UUUUCAUUUGAUGUUAAAAAUUCUUAAUUUUGAAUCCAUUAGACUUUUCUUGAAUUAAAAGCUUUUCAUGACCUCUAAUUAUAACAAGCAAAUCUACCUGCCCUUCCAAGCCAAGUGCUGCACCGGAUAUCAAAGGCUACAUGAAGAAAAAUGGAUCAGUCAGAGAAUGAACUUAGAAAUCUAGCAUAAUAUGUACUUUGAUACAUGAAACAUAGGUAAUGAACAAAGUAUGGCCCAGAAGUGAUCGUUCUAUGGUUUCUAAAUGCAUCUAUAUUUCUUAUGUAAAGAUGAGGAACCCAUUCUCAAAAUCAUUAGGGAAAUGAAUGCAUCAUGCAUCUUUAUAUCAACAGUGCACUUUUCCUUUCAAAUAUGUAUGCUUCCCCUCGGACUUACAAUUUAUUCUAUAAAACCCUAUUAUCAGAAAAUAGAGUACAAGAAUGUAGUCUACCCUCACCCUUAGCUCCUUAAGGAGUAAUUUAUAUCAUCUGACAAUAGUAACUUUCUAAUCUCAUAUAUUUAUCGUAUGUAUCGAUCUAUGGAAUAGUAUGUUUUGUCCUGUGAAGGAUGACGUGAAAACAAUUUCGUCCAAAACACAUGACUUCUACUAAAACAGGUCAUAUUUUGCCUUAGAUACAAAAACAAUCCAUAGUUUCAUUGGGUAUUUGCUAUGACUUCAAACAUACAACUUUAGUUAUUGUUUUUCCAUCAGAACGGUAUGGUAGCGGUCCUAAGGAUAUGUAACAAAGCUGACAACCUUAAAAAUAAUUAAAAACCAUCGCACAAACCAG
rnacentral:lncRNA from 1 species